ACUUCCGCAGCACAGAAUUGCUUCCUUAAAUUGGAAAGAUACAGAGCAGGUUAGCGUGGCCCCUGGGCAAGGAUGACACGCAGAUUUGGGAAGCAUUCCAUAUUUUU
ensembl:snRNA U6 U6 spliceosomal RNA